rnacentral:rRNA from 1 species
UACGUAGGGUGCAAGCGUUGUCCGGAAUUAUUGGGCGUAAAGAGCUCGUAGGCGGCUUGUUACGUCGUUCGUGAAAACUUGGGGCUCAACCCCAAGCUUGCGGUCGAUACGGGCAGGCUAGAGUUCGGUAGGGGAGACUGGAAUUCCUGGUGUAGCGGUGAAAUGCGCAGAUAUCAGGAGGAACACCGGUGGCGAAGGCGGGUCUCUGGGCCGAUACUGACGCUGAGGAGCGAAAGCGUGGGGAGCGAACAGG